AAGCUAUAUGAAACAUCAAAAAUGUCCCAUUUUUAAGGUGGUGCGUUAAUUUUGAUGCUUAGUGUAUGUAUAAGAAAUUAAAAGUUUGAUUUAUUAUAUUAUUUUUGUAAUUAUUUGUUUUCUGUACAAAAUGGACACACAGUUUCUUACAUGUUUUCAUCGUGUUAAGUGUAAAUAGUAAUACAAAAAGCUAAAAAUUAACACACUGGGUUGGGUAUAUUCAGUUUCACCGCUGAUUAAAAAAAACUGUAAGUCUAUUUAGUUCAUAAAAUGUAAUGAGGUAAUUAUAUUAUAGGAAAAACCUACAGAUCAAGAAUCUGAAAAAGACUUUUUUAUUAUUAAUUUAAAGUUAAUAAACAAAAUCAUAAAUCUUUUCAUUAUUAUCUAUAAUCACAGCCUUACUAUUUAAUUUAUAUUUUCUCAUACAAUUUACAGUUUACGGCAUUAAAACUUUACUAUGUAAUUAUUUCCCAUUUCUAGUGAAGGACAUAAAAAUCAUCUAGAAAGAAUGCAGGAAGGCAGACAUGUCAAGAAUAUUGGUUGGAGAGCACCGGAGGGUAAAAAAGAGAGGAAGACUAAGAAGGAAAUGGAGAGAUGCAGUAAUAGAAAACGUCAGUGAGUUAGGCAUCAGAAAUUGGAAGCAGACAGCCAAGAACAGAAAACGAUGGAAAUUAUCCAUUCAGCAAUGGGCCUAAAAGGCCUGUUACCGCUAUACAUACAUACAUAGUCUGAAUACGCGUAUAUCAUGUACCGACGCUAUAUUUACAGUAAGGCAAUACAACAAACCUGCAUUUAUAUCGCCGCUUCACAAGAACGUAGGCUCAAGUCAAAAUUUGCCGAAAUGGAGUUAAUACUGCAGAUCUACUAAAAAUUAAUCUAUCUUUCGCGUGAAUAAAGACUAUUGCGUUAAUAAUAAUAUUCGCUAAGAGAUGGCACCAAGUGUCUAUAUUUAUUUGGCGCGAAACUAGUUAAAUACUAAAUAUUUUCGUAUGAAUACAGCCCGAAGUCAGUUACGCCGCAGAAUGUGUGUGUAGUUCUCAUCAAGAACGACCUAUUUUAUAUUUACGUUUAUUUUUGGUGAAAAUUAUUUCUAAAAUAAGGACCCUUUUCUAAUUAGGUCAGUGUUUUUGAGAAAAAUGUCCAAAAGAGUUGGGUUCUUAGCAGAACUACGAGAAAACAUUAAAAAACAAAAAUCAGUGAAUCAAGAAGAUGAAUUGCCAAUAAUAAUGGCUAGCCCUUCUCAAGUUUAUGCAUGGUAAUAUUUUUGUAAAUGAAAUAAUUUGUUAAUAUUAAUUUCUGAUCUAUUAUUUAUUUGGUAAGAUACCUAAAUGGUUAUUUUCUUAUUCUUUAUUUUCAGAUGAUGGAAUUGAUCAAGCUUCUAAUUUGGAAAAUGAUUUGAAUCAUAAAAAUGUGACAUUAAAUCUACGUUUUAAAAAAGGAAAUGACCGACAAAACGAUGAGGCCGUUGUGGAUGGUACCUAAUUGUUUUUAUUAUCUUACUGUGUAUUUUAAACGGUAUUUAUAUUAUGAAUUUAAUCUAGCAGUUAAUGCACUAGCAAGAGUUCGCGCGUUAGAAUAAACUUUUAUAUCGUGAUAAUAAAUCGACUGUUUAUCAAAAAUCUCUUUUUGAUAUUAACGGUGUAUCUUAUAGGCUUUUGUGCAAUAGAAACAAACUGUUGCAAUAAAUAAGAUCCCCAUUUUGCGCCAGUUUAAUCCAACAACUCUUUACAUAAUUUGCAGAUGUAUUUUUUUAUUAAUAAAAUCACAGUUUUGAGCCAUCUGAAAAAAUUUCAAUUUAUCAGUAUAUUUCAAUUAUCAGAAAUGCAACAAAGUCGGGUACUUCAUACAAAGUUUUUGAAAUGUCUUCUACAAUUUUUUUACUUGAAAUCUCUAGCCGCAGAUAUUGGUAGUCAUUUUUCUAAAUCUACAGAGAACGAAACCUUAAAAUUAAAUGAUGUAAAAGUAAUACGAGUAACUAGUGAUCAAGAUGGUUAUUUUUUUAAAAGACCUCAUUUGCUCAGAAAGAAUACAAAAUAGUUAAAGUGCCAACUGGCCAGAAGACAUCAAAAGCUUUUAACGUAACUUAUAGCUUGAAAAAUAUUUAUACAAAAAAACCUUUUAUCACUGCUAAAAAGAAAAGUGGAUUAUUGCAUUUCAUUCAAAAGAAUGUUAUUCCUGGACACUAUCAACCAUUUUACGAAAGCUUAUAAUUUCUUAGUAUUGUUAAAAAAACAGAGUAUAAAAGAAUAAAUAGUUUCAUUUAA
rnacentral:lncRNA from 1 species